GGCUGUGGAUCGGGAAAAUGCACAUGGACACAUGAUUUCGGUUUCUUUUAUGGGGUCAUUUAUGGUGCACUUGACGAUUCUUAGGCAUGUAAAUACUUGGGACGUACGAGUAAGAUAACCCCGUCGUGAUCAAUUAUCCCCAAGACAAUCACCAUUCACCAACCCACCUGCAGCUGUUAGAUGUAUCCACCCAGGCACCCAAUCUUCUCAACUGUCCAUCAACUGUCGGGUAUCAUGGUAGUCACAGGGACCAAAGACACAGGAUUCUAUGACCCAGCACCACCCUGGCAGCUGAACCAACACCACCCUGGCAGCUGACCCAACACCACCCUGGCAACUGACCCAACACCACCCUGGCAGCUGACCCAACACCACCCUGGCAGCUGACCCAGCACCACCCUGGCAGCUGACCCAACACCACCCUGGCAGCUGACCCAACACCACCCUGGCAGCUGACCCAGCACCACCCUGGCAGCUGACCCAACACCACCCUGGCAGCUGACCCAGCACCACCCUGGCAGCUGACCCAACACCACCGUGGCAGCUGACCUAACACCACCCUGGUAGCUGACCCAACACCACCCUGGCAGCUGACCCAACACCACCCUGGCAGCUGACCCAGCACCACCCUGGCAGCUGACCCAACACCACCGUGGCAGCUGACCUAACACCACCCUGGUAGCUGACCCAACACCACCCUGGCAGCUGACCCAACACCACCCUGGUAGCUGACCCAACACCACCCUGGCAGCUGACCCAGCACCACCCUGGCAGCUUAAACUGGCAUGAUUUGACAACAGCAGGAUGACUACUCACAAGCCACAAACCCAUUUACAUCUAGACACUCUUCUCCUGUCAUGGACAAUUCUACAUUCUGAAACGCUGCUGGAUGUCACUACAACAUGCUGCCCAGUGAACUGUUACCUACUGCCAAUCAACAUUGGAUCUGAUGAGCUACAUGCACCUAGUUUCAGUCACAGUAAAUGUGAGAAAUGUGACAUUACAGCAACUGAUUCCUGAAACCAAACAAGGAAGCAGUCUGGGAUGCAUUGGAGAUCUCUCUUGUCCAGAUGUUGCAUUGACUGCAUUGACUGGAUGGAAUUUGUGAGCUACAGGUAGACCAGCACCAGCAGGAGUCUGCAGGACUUGCUCCAGAAUGACUUCCUCCUCAACAAAUCUCUCCCGCUGGACACAAAACUGAUUCUAAGGAUACAUGUAGCUCACAUUGAGCCAUGUAUGAAUGGACCUCGCAGGUCACACAAAACGUUAGGAAAACUGUUGAGAUAUGAUGGGAGGGAUACAUGAACAAUUUGUAUAUACAGUACCAGCGGUCAUGAGAUGACCAUUAUGCUGAUCAUGAGAUCAUCAAAAACUCUCAAUAAUUUAGAAUGACUGUUGCAGUCUGUCAUGAACAGAACUCUGAAAAACGGAACUCUUUGGAGAAAAGGACCUCUUUUGAAUGACCAUUUUAUUUAAAAGAAGUAGAGGUCUCUCUCUUUGUGAGGUCACUGGAGGUCAUUACAGUUAACCUCUGACCUGAUAUGCCAGAUUGGUUGCCAAGGGUAACCACAGUUUGACAGAAGUCUAAAGUCUUGAAAAGAACUUGAUACAAAUCUUCAAUCACAGUAUUUGAUGAUGAAUACAUUAUCACUCAGAGACACAGUUUGGAACAUGAUCCCCGCAUUUGUUUUCCUGCAAGAAAUUUAUUUUGCAAUCCAAAAUCCUUGAAAACAAAACAUUUGUUCUUUGUGGAUCCACAGUUGAUGUCACUCAUUGUUGAGAUCAAAUUGAAUCACAAAAUGUGAAAAUGGACGAGAGGCCUCUACACAUUGCGCGUAACCAGCUUCUCAAAUCAAACCUGUUUUGGCACAAAAUUGAUUUUUUAAUCUUUUAAAAAAAAUUUUGCUCAAUUGAUUUCCUUUAUUUCAUUCAGUGUCACCACUUACUUGCCUGAAAUUGCAGCUAAUCACCAAAAAGAAACCCACUUAACAAGCAGAGGCUGAGAGGCACUGAUUAUCGUCACAGUGCUGCAUUUUUUUUCUGACUAAUCUUUCUUUGAGCAUUUGUGAAAUUUCAGACACAGAUUCACUCAAACUUUUCUGAUGAAAACAUUCAUUCCCAAGAAUUGUGAUUAUGAGAGAGCUGGUUACGUUUAAUUGAUAUUUUUAACUGAAAUAUUGUUUAUGGCAUUGCCUGCAUGGUAACAGCUGGGUGCAAGAUUGGUUUCCUUGUUGACAAACUGAUGACACACAAUGCAAACACACCUCUUUAAACCAAAUUGUUCUAUAAUCCACAAAUUGAGCCCAAAAUCUUCCCUUUGGACUAAUAUUUGGUUCCCAUUAAAAUCAAAGGCUAUUUGUUUGGCAUUCCAAAGCAAAAAGCUGAAUUACAUGACACCAAAAUGGCGAGAAGGAAUUCUCUGUUAAAAAUGUCAAACGUUGCAAACAAGUACACAAAUCAACCUCUGAUCAAUCUCCAAAUUUGUUCAGAAGUGACUUUUCGGAAGUGACUUUUCUAAAAUGUUGAUGCAUUUAUCGCAAUUUAGCUGCCUGCUUCAGCCAUACAUUGUACAUGUACCAAUCUUGUACCCAGCUUUAGUUUUAUCAAGUAUAGUCAGCACUGAUACUAUGUAGAAAACAAUGUUUGACUAUGAAUGAAAAAUAUUGGCUCUAUUCACACAUUUUCCAAUUCAUCAAAAUUGAGCAACCCAAGUUUUCCAUUUUGUAAGUAAACGAAAAAAUGUUUGCUAAAAAUCAUUGUUAUUUGACAGUUAAGUACAUGCAGGAGUUUUUGCGUGCGCACCUAUGUUGAAAACUUGAGAAAGCAGUCUUUGUUUGGUCAUUUGUUUGGCAAUAUGGAUAAAAACUGUAGUAAAUGAUCAAAAGAGUAUCCGAACUUAAAAAAAAGAACAGAAAGAAAUAAUGCUUCCAGUGCUGGCUAUACAUGUAUAAUCUUGUAUGAUAAUUUGUUGAGUAACCCAUAUAUACUUGACAUUUUACCAACAGGCAAUGUUCUGAUAUACACGAGCCCAACGCAUGCAAGUCCCCCCGGGGCGUGCACGUGUGGUGUUCCCCGCCCGCAGAUGCCGGCUCGUCUGGUGGGUCGUCCCUGUCUGCAUUGACGAUUGGUCUUUUGUUCAAGGUGUGUGCUAGCUUCCUGAUCUUGUGGUCUGGAUAAUCGUGGAUGACUUGGUCGACUUCAACAUGGUAAGGAUCCUUUUGAACUUUGACAAUUAGUUUGCCUUUCUGCAAAGGAGAUGUCUUUUUGGCUGUUUCUUUACCGAGUGUUGCUGUGGAAAUUAUGUACCAUCUAUCACUCUGGAGAUUGCAAAUCUAGAGAUCAAUCGAGCAUCUACUCUUGAUGUCCCGCUUGCAUUUCAAUAGUUCCACGGCAUCAUGUUGAUCCAAAUGAUCUGCUAACAAAUGGGUACUGUUGUUGGUAUAUCUGAUGUUCUUCAAUGCGGUUUGAUUUUCGGACAGGUGUUUCAGCCGCUAUUUAUGUGAAUAACUUCCAUGGUAUAACUCUGAAAUCUCAUUGCCUUUUAUUGUGUCAUCAUGUACAAUCAGUUCUCUCAUAGAGUGUGUUCAAAUCUUAGACAUGCACGGAUAAAAAUAAGGAAAUAUCAAAAGGAAAUCGUUAAAAUUAACUGAAUCAAACGUCAAAUCUGCUCUAAAUUCAGCAUCUGAUGUAUCACUUUAAAAAAUGAGUUUGCAAAUAACAUUUGUGUUUUUGGCAGCAUACGAAUCUUAACUUGAUAAACAUAAGCGAGUGAUAUACAAAAUUCCCAAAUUUAAAAAAGGCAGCUUCUCUGCCAGAAAUAUUCAAAAUGCGAAAUUUUGGUAUCGUAAAAAAAGAGAGAAAAAAACGAAGAAGAAAAUCAUCCUCACUUCAAAGCAACUUUAAAAGAGACUUUUAAAAAUUCAACGCUCUUUUAAAAACACAAAGGAAACAAAUUCUUAUUAAAUUAAAAAAGCAAAGAAUGGGCUAUUGCCAUCAUAUUUAUCAUCAAAACUGCCGUGCGAAAGAAAAAACGGAGAGAAAAUUUUAAGAAACUUUGAAAAAAAAAGGAGAGAAGGCCAAACUCUUCAAAUUGUAGGGGAGAAGUCCUGGUGUGCAGAGGGGGAGAACCAUGCUGUUUCCUGGCCAGAUGGAAGAUGUGGUGGACAAAAAAAGCCCCCUGCAUCCUAGCAAAUAGAAGCUGUGGUGUCAGACACAGGGAGCCAGUCCUGCCAGAUGGUUCCAUGGUAAGUUUAAUUGAAGUUUGUAGAAUGAAUUCAUGCACUGUGUACAUCCUCAUUGCUUGCUAAACCCAACGGUAAAAUGUGUAUCUCAUGGCUAGGAGUAAACGCUAUCUGUCUGCAUUACAGGAAAACAGUAUUGUGCAUUAUAGUCUUCAGUCUGUGGCAAUACCAUUUAGCCUCAAUUUGGCACUUGAAAAAACAAAGUAAGAGAAACAAAAUGUCAGCUUUUUGUCAACUGUAGUCAAAGUUGGACAAAGGCAUUGACAUGACAAUUCUAGGAACUGAUCAGUUUUCAUAAACUUUGAUAUUGCCGAAGAGAUGUCAAUACUCUUCUUAUAAGUGUCCAUUGAGUCCUACAAUCAUACAGAGAUGCAACCAGUGUAUUGGUGCGCAAACAUCUCAACCAAUCUCAGUAAACUUUCUGGACUCAACACUCACUGCAAGCACUCAAAGUGCUGCUACUCAACUCAUGGUCAAAUGUUUUGACCUCUACACUCCAAUCCUUUGAUUGGAUAAAACCUUGGGCUUGAGCAAUCACUGCAGCCCCCCAUAGAUUCAUCACCCACCUGAUAGGUGGUUGCAUGGGGAAAUCCCCUGCCAGGUCUGUUUAAGAGGACCUUUUGUGAUCACAACUUUGUGAUCUGAGCUGCUCACUUGUCUGCAGUGAUCGAGAGCCAUAUCAAAGUGUGCUCUUGAGCAAUUGGAAAUUAACGUGCACUUUCAAAAAAGCCUUGGAAAUCUAGGCUUGCAAUAAAAGCAGUUCCAUCUUCGCGAGUGACACAGAUUCAGCUGAAAAGCCUUGAAGCAAAAGCUCUUUUCAGUUGCACGACCCCUUUCAGUGCAAAACUGAAAUUGUUUAUUCUCAUUCUCUGUCAGUAUGCAUUUUUUAAGUGGGAUAUGAGACGUUAAAACAAAGGUCGUGCCAUUGUGUCCACCUGUUAGUAUUCGUUAUUCAAUUGAUUUUAAAAACUAAGAAGAAGACAUUUAACUUUGAAUGUCUUUGAGAGUCCUGGAAGAUCUUCACCUUAGCUUUGACUUUAAAUCAAAACUUUGAAAUACAGUGUACUCGGUUUUAUUUUGUCUUAUUGGCCAGUUCGCACCUUUGCACGCUACCUCAGAAAAGAAAAUUCAGUAUUGUACACUUCCAUUCAGAAGAAAGUUAUCAUAUGCUCUAAGUGUACCGGUACUGGAAACCUGAAAAACUUUCCCUGUACAUUGUAAGUUGUUUGUGUUCGACAUCUCAUCAGAGAGCAGUAAUUGAAUACAAGUCUGAUAUCUGACAAUUGUAAAUCUUCCUGCAAAGAAGUCCAACAUUGAGUAGAUGUUACAGAACCCACCAUAAAGUUGGUCUGCUCUGAGUUAGACCAAAUUGGUGCCACUCGCCAAGAAACAAACACUCAAAAUUGUGAAUCUUUGAAAAGGUUGCUGAAACCAAUCUGACAUUGAAAUUAAUUUAUCUUGUCUCACUAGCAGAGGACUUAAAUUUAUUUCUCACUAUCUCAUGACUUUGCAAAAAUGAAAAGUGCAAAGUGAUAUCACACUUUGCAUCAAACUGACACACUUGAAUCUAAUUUUAACUUGACUAAAACUGAAAUUCUAGGAAUAUGGUCUUUGGGGCCUGACGGUAGUGUGUCAGUUGUCAAAUAAGGUGAAGAUCUUUCAGGACACAUGUUGGUAUUGCCACAGACUGAAGACUAGCUAUGCUCCAUGCUUUAACCCUUUAGUGACCAUACCUCUCUUGGUGUACAACGCUACUUCUCCAAGUGCAUUUUCCAGACUGAAGAAGACUAGGCUGGUAUUGUGAAUUGGGACGUAUUCGAAUGCUAAACCAACUAAAAUCCUGUCGAACAUGCAGUUCUUAUUCAAGGCAAAUGUUGUGAAAUGUGAUUUUUUUUCGAAUACUAAAAUAGCUAAUCAGCUAAUCUGGCAAUUCAGUUCUCCGGUGGCUAAGGUCACUAAAGGGUUAAAAAGAAAAAUCAAAGGUUGUUUGAGUCAUUGUUCAGGUCAAGUUUAGAUUCCGUUUAGUACUAAGAGGGCUGUACGAGCAUACAAAUGUAGGGCAGGUUUCUAAGCAAAUAUGCAAUCUCUUCAGUUUCUUCAGUCUCUUUAAAAUUGAUCAAACUACUCUUAGUAUUUUCAUUUGUUAUUAUCAACAAGCUAAAAGGUAAUAUUAACAAUUCUGUUAAAGGCAAACUUCAGCAAACCUCUUUAAUUCAAUAUUGCAGCAAAUAAAUACGUCACAGAGUUAGAAUGCAUUAUUUUUAAAAUUGAGCAGAGCGUGUAGCAUCUGAAUAUUUUUCCCUGUCAUAUGUAAUGAUUCAUUGCAUGUCAUGUAAAUAUCGCUAAAGACCAUCUCUGAGAACAUGAAUGAGUACAAUGCAGUGAACAGUGAAUUAAACAUGAUGUGAUAAAUAAAUUAUAAAAAAAUUGUACGUUGGGUCAAAAUCUGGCAAAUGAAAUAAAUUUAACCAAAUUACAAAUGUACAUGUAGGUACAUAAACCUAAUUACUAAAAAAUAAAAACGUUGAACACUUCACAUAAUGUUCAGUAGACGCCUUUGACAUGACUGAAUUAAGGAGUAAAUAAACACUUCAAUAAACAACUCAGGACAGCUCAGUAUGAUAAAAUGAAAUUGGAAAACUUGCACAUUUUCUUAGUCAGAAAAUAACAAUAAGGUUCAAGUCAGUUGAAUAAUUUAUAGUAAUAUAGUCAGCCCACUAGGGAAAAAGCAAGCUGGUUUUUUGUCUCUAUAGGGUUAAUUGUUCUAUAAACUAAAUGUACAAGUGAGUCAAACUAAUUUAACUUGAUAGCCAACUGGGACAGGAAUAUUUCCUUUUUUUCCAUGGAAUAUUUUUGCAAGCAUGCAUUUUUACAGUGUUCCUAACUUUAUACCCAUUAACCUUUACUUGGGCAUACUCAGAGAGAUCUAAAAUAACUAGGACUUAUUAAUUUUGUUGACGUCAAUUGGGUUGAAUCUCAGUUUAUGUACAUGUAGGUACACCAGGCUCUGUGCAACUGCAAGAGGGAUACAUUUUAUAACAUUGUCCCAAGAAAGAUAGGUUUAGCCUGUAAAAUUAGUACUUUUUUGUCAUUCCUCUCUUAAGUGUUUCAAAAGUGAAAGGUCGGUCUUGUCUUACAAGUUGUAAGGGGUGGGUCCCAGGAUAAAUCUUAAAAUGAAUGGCAGUUUUGCUGAUUGAAUGAUUUCUGACAAAAUGCAUACUUUGAAAGAGCCUUAUUUUGAAAUUCUGCUCUUUCAUUUGACUAACUUAAACUUGCAAUUCACUUAGCCAAAAACGACCGUGUCAAUCCUUCUGAUACGCAGUCAUCUUGAUUUUAAAUUAUGGCAGUGUUCCAUUUUCAAAUCCUGCAGGAGCACUCAAUUUUGUUUGCGAGACAAAAUGGUUGGUCUAGUUCAAUUGCUAAACAAAGUGCAGAUAAAGUGAUUGUAAUUUUCAAUCCAAUAUGUUUUGGUCAGGCAAGAAACCAAGAACAUUUUUUGCCCAGUUUUGCAUGCUGCAUGCCUAAACAUCACUGAAAUGCCUUCUAAGUCAGUAGCAAGUGUCUUGUUGGAGAAUCAGUCUCAGAAACUGCCAUUAAUUUGUCCUAGGGCCUGCCUAGGUUUGCAUGUGAGCAUAAAUGUGCAAUAUCUGUUGUAAUGUAGACAUGUAGCAAUACAGGGUGAGUCAAAAAGAAAGUGACCGAAUGAGAAAAAAAGGCUUUUAAAACACGUUGCUUGCUCCAUUUUAUAAAAAAUAACAUAGGAUAAAGUACGUGUCAUUGACUAGUAACUGAAAAUUUCUCGCAAUUUUGCGUACUCUAUGCCCAAGUUAUGUCUAUUUUAACAAAAAGAUCACAAAAUUCAGCUGUCCACCACUGAUCAUUUACCGUUGUAUGAACUGAUGAAUACGCAUUAAAUACAGUGAAACAUGGUCGUUUUCCCACCUUGAUGAAUGAACGAAAAUUUGCAAAAAACUGACAAAACUCGUCAUCACUAUUUCAGGAAAAUAAAAGAGUUGACGUAAUUGUUCCUCAGAUUAAAAACACAAAAUCUGACUGAAAAAAAGAAUGUUUCAGUCUUCACCCAAAUGAUCAAAAUCUCAUUUUUAUUUCAAUGCCUGUGUGUAAUCUGUAAUUAUCACUCCACUCAAUAGCUUCCAACAGCAUUCCAUGAACAGCUACAGAAAUAGGUUCCUCUGGUAGCCUGGAUCAAUUUCAGUGAUUAAGACAUAUUUCAUUGAUGCAUAAAAUUUGAUCGCUUUUUAAGAAAAAAAAAUCAUUAAUCCAGGUCACUUUCUUUUUGACUCGCCCUGUAUGUUUACUCCGAAUGCCAUGAUACACAUGUGGGUUUAGCAAGCACAAACAGAUGAGGAUGUAUGUUGUCAUUGUACAGUGCAUGAAUUAAUGAAAGCUUCAAUUAAACUUGACCAUGGAUGGCCAUGGCGGGACAAGGCUGUCCCUGUGUCAUGAUGAUGCCACAGCUUCUGAGGAUGCUGAGGGGCAGAUUGCCACCACAUCAACAGUGGCGUAGCUAGAAUGAAGGAGGGGCCACAAAAAACUGGAGGGGCAAAUUAAAGCCCAUGCAAUUGUCCAUGUGGGGCCAACAUGAAAUUCGACAUUAUCAUUUGAAUGUACAUGGCUGGUCGCCAUGUUUGUGGCUUCAUUUUUAUGGGCCCAUCUUGAGUUGGCCAAAAUAUGGGCCGAGCAUGGAAUUGAGAUAGAUCCCAGUUUGUCCAAUUGGACAGACCGCCCCCUCCAAAUGUUAGAAGGCCCCUCCCAUCCCCAUGAGCUACGCCACUGCACAUUAACCAGGAAGUAACAUGGUUCUUCAGAAACGCACAUCGGGUUGCACAUGGGGGGUAAAAAAUACUCCCCCUCCAAAAAAAAUGUUCUUUGACAAAAAUCUAAUUCAUUUGAGGCUGGCGUACGGCUUCAAAGAAUGUGACAUUAUAAGCUAGCAAUCAUUCUGUGCACAAAAUGUGUGUUGAUUUGGUUUGCCUAUUGUCAGUUUGAAAAAACAAACAGAUUUGUGAAGAGUUUCGCCCGAUGUCGGUAGAAAUGAAAGAGAUCACUCAGUAUUGAAAUACUGUGUGAAAUCCAAAGAAUUCCAAAAGAAAAAUUGUGAAUGUGUUUCAGUACAACCAAUUUCUCUCUCGUAAAACUUCCAAUCAAAAUGUGUGGGUUGAUUUAGAUUGUAACAUGCGCAUCAUGUACAUCAUGUACAUUAACAUGUACAUUGAGUGCACAAAUUGAAUUGUACAUGUACGUUGAGUGCAUAAUUCAACAGCUUCGUUGAAGAUAUUUAUGAUGGCACAAAGCAAAGAAAAAUUGUGAUUACAUUUCUCCACUGAAAGAACCGUUUCAGUGUAUUUGCCCAUAUAAAUCAGGACUGUGUGAGAAAUGUCAAAAAUUGACUCUUUAUUGUACCAAAUGUACGCAAACUUUGUCAAAAAAAGGAGAGAAAAAUAUGCGCAAAAUUUACAAAAUAACAAAAAUUCUAUCUUUCCGAGUCCAAGAGAGAUAAAGAAAACAGUUGCUUUGAAAUGGGACUUGUCUGACCUAAAUGCUGGUUGAAGUUUUGGCUGAAAAAUCUCACUUCUUAAAACCUGUAAAUCCUACCAAGAACACUUCGGUAAAUUUGAACGUGCAAAUUGAAAUAUUUAAUUAAAUUGAAGUCCAAAUACAUUGGUGUAAUUACUUGAAUUUACUUGGCACAACUAUAUCUUAUCUGCAAAAUCCGACGUUCUUAAAACUAGUGUAAGUGCUGCCAGAAAACACCGACUUUUAUUUGGUCAAAUAUAUCUGAUGGAAAUGCGAUGUACAUGUACAGCAUGUACAUGUCAUGUACAUGACAUGUCAUGUCAUGUACAUGUACAUGUCAUGUCAUGUACAUGUACAUGUACAUGUACAUAGCAUGUACAUGUACAGUAUGUACAUGUACUUACUACCCAAGUACAAAGAAGCUUUCCAAAAUUGGCAAGGCUUUAGAGCUUGAAGAUCAAAUUUGAUAAUACUGUUACCUUCUCUUAAAAGGUUACGUCUGCCUCCUGUUAAACUUGUCCUGAAUUGGUUUUUUGGUCUUUGCCAGUUCAAGUUAAACGUGCAUGUCCGUCAAAACCAAAUAUAUACUUACAAGUUCUUGUGAAAAUCUUACGAAUAAUAUGCAUUUUGAAAUGACACACUCAUGAGAUGAACUGAUUACUGUACAUGUUGAUGUGAUUAAACGGCAGGGAGAUUUCAGAGUUAUAUCAUCGAAGUUAUUUGCGUAAAUGGUAGCAGAUAUAAAUGUCCUAAAAUCUUAUUGCAUUGGAAAUAUCGGAGAAAGCUGGCAAAUUGUAGCCUGUUUGUAUUGCAUUUCAUUUAAAUGGAUCAGAAACAUGAUGCAACAGCGAACGAUGGAAAUGUUGAGUGAGACAAUCAUAAGUAGAUGUGAGAGAGAUCUCUACUUGGGCAAUUUUUGGAGUGAUAGUUGGUAUACAAUUUCCAUGGCAAUACUUAGUAAUUGAAAUGGUUAAUAAGGCAUUGACUUUGUUGGAAAAGUAAACUGAUUGUUAAAAGUUCAUAAGGAUCCUUAUCAUGUUGGAGUUAACCAAGUCAUUUGCGAUUAUUUGGACUUCAAGUUUGGGGAGUUAGUGCGCACUAAGAUCAACUGAUCAUGAGUUGAUGUAGAUAGAGGGCGACUCGCUGGACUUGCUGGUGUCUGUGGGCGGGGAACACCAUGCGUGCACGCCUCGGGGGGACUUGUAUGCGUUGGGCUUUUUUUUUGGCCAAGUUCAAGUUCAAAGCCAAGUUCAAGGUCAAGUUCAAGGUCAGAUAAAAAAAAAUAACUUACACCAGAUGUAAAAAUAAAUUCAAGUUGAAACAAUUACUUUGGUACUUUUUUCAUGGUUUAUUUCAUGGUUUAUUUCAUGAACAGCGCCCUCAUUAUUUUUAAUUAAAGUCAAAUUAAGAAGAGUGCCCUCUUAUGGUAUCUUGUAUCUUAUGCCCAAGCCACAUUUCAUACAAGAGCGCCCUCUAUCUUAUGUUUGUUUAAAUAUUUGUUUUUUAGAAGUUAUUCUAAAUUUAAACAUGACACAAGAGGGCGCCCUUUUUCAUUCUCAAUUUGAUUUGGUGUAAAAACUAAUAAGAGGGCUCCCUUCCUUGCUGAAACUAUGCACAUAAAGAGGGCGCCCUUCGUUUAAAUGAACUUGGGAAAACUUUAAACAUACAAAUGCGUUUGUGGAUUUUUUUCAAAAGUCAAAGGGCGCCCUCAUGUAUUUUUAAGCUUCAAAUAGGGAAGGGAGCCCUCUAGUGUCAUACUGGACUUCAAAAAUACCUGCUGUCUAUUUUCACAAGAAUAAUUUGCAGCACACUUUCUAAAGCUUCACAGCGCAAGUUUGAACUUGUUGCCAAUUACAAAUAAAGAGAAAAAAUUAUCCCUUUUGUUUUUACAACUUCUGGCAAGCGCUAAACGAAUUAUCACGUUUGAGUGUAUAGUCAUCAUGAACCAUAACAAAAAUACAAGUUCAUUGUUUUCAAUAGAGCAACAUCCGUGUGGAUAUUUUAAGCUUGUGUACAUCUUCAUAAAAAAAACUAAAACCAACAAAAUAUGAACACAUUCUUUUGUGCUGCUAACUUGUGAAAAUAGACAGCAGGUAUGUCAAGAAUAAAAGAAACCAUCACACCAAACCAACAUACUUUUAUUGGAGUCACAAAAAACCAACAAUCUACAAUGGCACAUCAUAAGUUAUUCAUUCAUAAGCAUUAAGUUGUCUUCUUAAAAUGCAAUCUUUCUGAGAGAAGAAAAAAUGGAAUGUUUGUAAGUGUUUUAUCAUCAUGUCAAACCACAUCAGGAACAGCAUUACUUCUGAAAAUUUUUUGUACUGGAUUUUUCGAAUUGAUGGACAAAAGUUGUACGAGUUCCAUUCUAUAGUGAAUUUCUAAAUAUACUAGUAUUAAAUUUUGAAUAAAAACAUCCACUUUCUUAAAGUGUGCGACAGACUUAAGUACUCAUAAAAUAUUAGGAACCUUUUAGUAAAAGUUCACCGUAAAGUUCCUCUUCCUGUGCUCUUCAACUUACAUUGUAAUCUAAUGUUUUCUCUCAGUGAAUUUUCACAUGUAUCUUUUACUUCAAUAGAAAAGUCUAGAUUUUUGGGGGGCAUGUUUUAAACCCUCUGAAAAUAUGCUUUUUUGGGUUUGCUUUUGCGCCAAUGAUACACACAAAAAUAUUAUUAUUGGGCCUGGUAAAAGUUAAUAUAUGAAAGCAAAUAUUCCAUAACUAAAUACAUGGAUGGAUUUGUUCGCUCAAUGUCUUUUGCAAAAGAAAAUAACAUUUGAAUUGCAAAUAAAUAGCAACGUAAAAAAAACAACUUUUAAUUUCUUGGGGUGAAACUUGAAAAGAGCACAGGAACAGAGACUAGGCUGUUAUUUCCAAUAACUGUAUGAUGUGCCAUUGUAGAUCUAUGUGUAUAUAAUUAUAAGCUCGAUACAUUUUUGUUUAAAUACGUAAAUAAGGCAUUAAAUCAAUGUCUAACUUUUUCAAAAAUAUUAACCAGGCACAUGUCGACAAAUUUGUCCCAACAAUUUGUACAAAUUUUUGGGGAAAAGUUUCUAAUUUUCUGACGUUUAAGAAGUACUUGUGAGUACGUAGUACCCCUAACAGUUCUGAAUCCUCCAGGAAUCUAGCUUGAAUGGGUGGCAAAAUGAAGGCCUUGCUCCAAAAUUUGAAGAAAAAAGAAAGAGUUGAAUUGCAAACACUUUGAAAAAAGUGAGGUGAGUUGUCAGAGUUUGCUUUUCAAUGCAUGAAUAUUCCUAUGUCCAUAUCAAGACUAAGCAUUUCGAAACAAACGAUGCGUAAUUCUGAUCAAGUUGAAACAUCAGGCCUCUUCAAGAUCAUUACACAACUAGGUUCUUAUCGUUUGGGACGCUGCUUGUAAUAUGUGACAUGUGCCUGGAUAACUACAGGUCUCUCUCAAAUGACGUCAUUUCCUACAGACCAGCCACGUGCAUCGGCAUUUUGAGUGCCAACUUGCAUAAGGCACAUCUGCUGCAUCGUAUUUUGAACACAUUUCUAGCAACAAGUGCAAAUGUUUUGAACUUUUUCAACACUGCGCAAUGCGUGCUUGAUUACGUAAAAUAUGCAGUUGCAGUUCUCCUACAGAGAUGGCCGUCUUUGAGAGAGACCUACUUCAAAUUUAAAUGGUCGCAUCACAGACGACUUUGUGCAAAUCCUUGGCAAUGAAGGUGGUUCCUCACAGAAUGCAAAAUGGCAAACGUGGAACAAAAGUUUUGGACUUCAGAUCUACAAAGUUUUCUUGCUCUGAUGCACACAAGAACCUCUCAUUGCCAAGGAUUUGCUUUUGUCCAACGUCAGCCGCUCCAGGCGAGCCCAAGUCCUCCAAGCAGUCUUGAAAAGGAAUCUGCAGGAAAUCCACCAGCACCAGUGAUUCAGUCAGAUGAUCGGUCACCUUAUACAGGGGAGAAAAAAAAAGAGCCAUCAAAAUAUCCUAACUGACAAUUUGCUACAGUCCAAGAAACAAUAUUCACAUGCCGGAACGACUGGUUUUAACACAUUUCUCGUCAAUUUAAAAAAGUAUAGGCCUAUUUGCCCAUUUGUUAUACAUAAAUUCUGCUGUCAUUUGCACAGGUUUGUUUUCAUUAUAAACCAUAGCAGCUGACCUAUGAGCUGUAUCUGUGGUCCAAGGAAUGCAAGUUCCUUUUAAAUUAUUUCAAAUGCUUUGUACAGGCAUGCACCUUUUCCUCGGAUCUGCUGAUUUCCUUGGUUUUUUUACUUCUCGUGAAUGCCAUUACAAAUUGAAAUACACUUAUACUGUACAAAGUCUUGUGUGGUUUGGAGUUUCUUCCUUUUAUUUUUAUAAAUUCCCAGUUGCAUGCCUGUCUGUAACUGAUGAUCACAACAAAUAUGUCAUUAAAAUGUUACUAGAAUUUUGGUUAUGUGCUUUGAUAUAAAGCUUGGAAAUUGUUCAAAUUGACCGGUCAUUUUCAGCCAUUAAGCGAGAGGUUAAAACCAGCCGUUUGAAGACGCCCUUAUCAAUGUGAUCAAAAUAUCAUUGUAAUUAAUGCAAGUAACAGUACACACAUAUUUCAUUCAGCCUUACUUUAUAGUAUAAAUAUGUUGCUUUUUUCCAUGACGUAAAACAAAUAUUUGCCUAACCCCUUUGGCACCUUUACACCAGCUCAAUAUCUUAAUUCAGCCAUAAUGUAGGAUAUUUGAAAUAAAAUUACUAUAGAACCAA